UACGGAGGGUGCAAACGUUGCUCGGAAUCAUUGGGCGUAAAGCGCACGUAGGCGGCCUGAUAAGUCGGGUGUGAAAGCCCUGGGCUCAACCCAGGAAGUGCACUCGAAACUGCCACGCUAGAGUAUCGGAGAGGUUGGUGGAAUUCUCGGUGUAGAGGUGAAAUUCGUAGAUAUCGAGAGGAACACCGGUGGCGAAGGCGGCCAACUGGACGAAUACUGACGCUGAGACUCGAAAGCGUGGGGAGCAAACAGG
rnacentral:rRNA from 1 species